UCAUCUUAGUAUGUUAAAGAAGAAUCAUGAAUGAUUGGGUCUACAUCUGCAUAAAAGAGAUGAUUCGUUAAUUAAUUUCAUACGUAUGUUGUUAAAAAGGAAUUAACCGUGUAGAAUGUGAAAAACUGAUAUUUGAGUUGUACUUUUUCCGCUGAAUUUUUUCACCAUGUUUCUUGGUUAUCCAGUAAGUGUUCUUCAUUAUUUUCAUCAAUUUCCUAAUGGAUUGAAAAGCUUGCUGCUACUUUCUUCCAGUGUUGUGUAUUGUGCUACUGCUCUCUAAUGUACUAUCUGAAGCUUGUACAGCGUGCCAGAGCAAAAAAUGGGAAGGCACUAAUUUGAAGUUCAGAUAUGAUAAAGAAAGAAGUCGUGCGAUCUCGGAUCUAGUGAUUUUCCACGAGCUAUGGCCUCUUUCCCUGAUGCAUAAACGUGGACGGCCGCCCUCCAACAUACCUCUUUCUCCCGCUGCUCCAGCAAGCAAGCUCCCAGCGUCGCACCUCCAGCCUGCGACCUUCCUUUCUGCCACGUCUCCACCGGUCGUUGGUACCUCCCGGCCAUAUGAAUGGCGUUGCCGAAGUCCACAUUGUACCACACUAGCAGGACGACUCCUACAGGUCGUGCCAAUCGUCUUUCUUCCAGCGUCCAUGGUCGCCAUCGCUGUCAAUAAAGUUGUACUCGAUCCAUGUGUGAUAUGUUUGCAGCACGCGCUUGAUGCAUUCGAUCGCCUCACACAGUGCUCCAGGGAAGUAGCCGGAGGCAGUAGCUAGCUGCGCACUCGCUGAUUUUGGCAUAGCCUAGUGGUUGUUAACCAAGCUAAGCAGGUCAUGUCUCUGUCAGCUAGAAGUACCAGUGUUAGGCGUUACGUAGAGUGAUUUGCUUAUGGGUUUCAGUGAGUUAGAUGUACCAGGAUGGGAGAUGCGAGUGUUCUUUACUUGUGAGUUUAUUA